AUUCCUGGCGUGCCUGACGCGCGAUUAAUAAAUGGACCGCAAAGGGUUAAUAUCUGAUACGUCCCCUAUCAGGGGACCAUAUAUUAAAUUGAUUUUUGGAAUCGGGAGAUGGAACAGGGGCUUGCUCCGUCCACUCCACGCAUCGGCCCGGUAUUGCAGUACCUCCGGGAACGGUGCACACCUU